rnacentral:rRNA from 1 species
GAUGAACGCUGACAGAAUGCUUAACACAUGCAAGUCAACUGUGGCGGACGGGUGAGUAACGCGUAAAGAACUUGCCUCCCAGUUAGGGACCUCCUUUGGAAACGAAUGCUAAUACCUGAUACUGUGAUAGAGCUUUGCGUCCCAUUAGCUAGUUGGAGAGGUAACGGCUCACCAAGGCGAUGAUGGGUAGCCGGCCUGAGAGGGUGAUCGGCCACAAGGGGACUGAGAGACGGCCGUUACUACGACGGGAGGCAGCAGUGGGGAAUAUUGGCCAAUGGACCAAAGUGUGAUCCAGCAAUUCUGUGUGCAAGAUGAAGUUUUCGGAAUAUAAAGUGCUUUCAGUUGAGAAACGGUACCAGCAGAAGAAGCGACGGCUAAAUACGUGCCAGCAGCCGCGGUAAUAC